ensembl:lncRNA
UGCUGGAUAGAACCACAAGAUGAAUCCCCCUGUUGGCAACUAGACCCACAGCUAAUCCCACACCAUUGGACUCCAGGACCCCCUAGACACCAAAACCUCCCAUAACAAUUGAAAGAAGAAACGCACAGAAGGGCCAGCAGAUAAAAAGCGUUGACCGGCAGCCCAGUCUCAUCAUUGGAACGCCCACUUCACCUCACACAGAGACCCCUGUUCAGGCCUAAACUAAUGGCACUACAGGCUCCCACCACACAGGACAACCCGAUCUCACCAACCCUAGAUCUACUAAGAACCAAAGACAAAGAAACACCUCCAAGAAAGCAGCCCACCCCCACCAUACCAGGGGACCCAGGGAUCCGGUCAUACCCUCAUAAGGUUGACAUAGGAACGGGCUCCUUUUGGGCAACGCAAACCCUCCUAAAAAACCUUCCCUCACAUCCUAUCCUGACCAGGGUGAUGGACGGAACGGAGCAGAGACAGAGUGUUGAAGUGACCUCCGACCAGGGUGAUUGACGAUACGGAGCAGAGGCAGAGUGUUGAAGUGACCUCUGAACUUUCCUUCCCAUCCCAUACCCUGUUCAGGGUGGUAUGGAGUGAAAAUCAGUAAGAACAGACUAACACCCCGUUACCACCUACCUCCACAUACUCUUCCCAGCCAACACCACCUAACAUAGGAUUGCCGGACAGAACCACUGGAUGAAUUCCCCAGCUGACUACUAGAACCACAGCUUCCCACACCAUGGGACUCCAGGAUCCCCUAGACACCCAAACCUACCUGCACCUUACACACCCCACAUCCCAUACAAAAGACAGGGGGUCAUUAAGACCACAAAAACAGACCUCCAAUAGCACCAUAGAGUUACCAUGACCAUGGACUCUCAAUACAACUUUCCUUUAGCUACUUUACUAGCACCAUAGAGUUACCAUGACCAUGGACUCUCAAUAAUACUUUCCUUCAGCCACCUUACUAGCACUAUAGAGUUACCGUGACCACGGACUCUCAAAACAAAUAUUUACCUUUAGUUACUUUUAC